rnacentral:rRNA from 1 species
AACGAACGCUGGCGGCAUGCCUAACACAUGCAAGUCGAACGAAACCUCCGGGUUUAGUGGCGCACGGGUGCGUAACGGGUGGGAACCUGGUCUUAGGUCCGGAAAAUCCCCCCGAAACGGGUGCAAAAUCCGGAUAAGGACUUUGGUCCAAGGUAUUAUCGCCUUUGGCUGGGGCCGCGUUGGAUUAGCUAGUUGGUAGGGUGAUUGCCUACCAAGGCGAGGAUCCUUAGCUGGUCGGUGAGGUAGAUCACUGACACUGAGACUUAGAGGCGGCGGGGACUCCUACGCGAGGCAGGAGUGGGGAAUAUUGGACAAGCGACGGAGGGAUGAUGCAGCACGGCCGGGUGAGUGAUGAAGGCCUUAGAGUUGUGGAACUCUUUUACCCGGGAUGAUAAUGACGGUACCGGGAGAAUAAGCUCCGGCUAACUCCGUG